rnacentral:snRNA from 1 species
GAACUCCCCAAAGCACCUUUAGGACUAAAAUUGGAAUGAUGCAGAGAAGAAUAGCAUGGCUUGUGCACAAGGAUCAGAAGAACACUCAUGAAGUGUUCUGCUGUUUU